UGGGGAAUAUUGCACAAUGGGCGAAAGCCUGAUGCAGCAACGCCGCGUGCGGGAUGACGGCCUUCGGGUUGUAAACCCGCUUUUCAGCAGGGGACGAAAGGUUUUUCUGACGGUACCUGCAGAAGAAGCACCGGCUAACUACGUGCCAGCAGCCGCGGUGAUACGUAGGGUGCGAGCGUUGUCCGGAAUUAUUGGGCGUAAAGAGCUUGUAGGCGGUCCGUUGCGUCGGAAGUGAAAACUCAGGGCUUAACCCUGAGCCUGCUUUCGAUACGGGCGGACUUGAGGGAUGUAGGGGAGAACGGAAUUCCUGGUGGAGCGGUGGAAUGCGCAGAUAUCAGGAGGAACACCAGUGGCGAAGGCGGUUCUCUGGACAUUUCCUGACGCUGAGAAGCGAAAGCGUGGGGAGCAAACAGGCUUAGAUACCCUGGUAGUCCACGCCGUAAACGGUGGCACUAGGUGUGGGACCCAUUCCACGGGUUCCGUGCCGUAGCUAACGCAUUAAGUGCCCCGCCUGGGGAGUACGGCCGCAAGGCUAAAACCUC
rnacentral:rRNA from 1 species